ACGCACGCUGGCGGCGUGCUUAACCCCUGCACGUCGAACGGAAAGGCCCUGCUUUUGUGGGGUGCUCGAGUGGCGAACGGGUGAGUAACACGUGAGUAACCUGCCCUUGACUUUGGGAUAACUUCAGGAAACUGGGGCUAAUACCGGAUAGGAGCUCCUGCUGCAUGGUGGGGGUUGGAAAGUUUCGGCGGUUGGGGAUGGACUCGCGGCUUAUCAGCUUGUUGGUGGGGUAGUGGCUUACCAAGGCUUUGACGGGUAGCCGGCCUGAGAGGGUGACCGGCCACAUUGGGACUGAGAUACGGCCCAGACUCCUACGGGAGGCAGCAGUGGGGAAUAUUGCACAAUGGGCGGAGGCCUGAUGCAGCAACGCCGCGUGCGGGAUGACGGCCUUCGGGUUGUAAACCGCUUUCGCCUGUGACGAAGCGUGAGUGACGGUAAUGGGUAAAGAAGCACCGGCUAACUACGUG
rnacentral:rRNA from 1 species